ACCUUUCAGUGUUCUCUUUUAGCCUUAAUGUAACACUACUCAGUAUUUUUGAAGCGAGGAGCCUUUUGUUUCUUUCCAUUGAUGUUCUGUCUGUGAAUGAGGUCUUUGGCUCUAUGUGAAUGAGUGAGAAGUCAGUGAAGAUGCCUUAAAUGCUGUGUGGGUAUGAAUUCCUCCUUGUUUUAUUGCAUUUCAUCUCCUGAAAAGAAUAUACACUGUCAAAAGCACCUUGUACAUAGAAUAUAAUAGUAAUAUCCAGAGUUAUGUAUAUUUAAUUUUAUUAUAUACAUUUUUUUAGCAUAGUGUUCUGAGAUUAUUGUGGCUUCCCUCAGCCAAGUGCAUCAUCUUUUGUCUUUGACGACACUGACAAUAUCAUUAAUUUACAAUAUUUUUAAGUCUCAUUAACAUCACAAAGAUAUUUUUUCAUUCGAAGUUUGUUGUUUGUCACCACUUAGAGUUUUGUUAGUAUCUUAACUUAUAUUUAAAUAUUUCAAAUUAACACCACAAAACUACAUAAACUAACACUACCUUCCUGCAUUGCUUUUACUCUGUGUAAAUAUAAGUUAAUGAAAAUCAGGACAUACAGUUAUUAUCCACAUGUAGGAGUCUGAGAUCAUAUUUAGAUGUAUCGGUACUGUCCGUAUUCUGCUGUUUCAGAAUUCAAGAACUAAUUUUAACCCCCAAAUGCUUUUUUUAACAUCUAAAAUUACAAAUAGCAAAUCCAGUUUUGUGAUAAAGAUAAUCAUUUUAUUCCUGUCACUUUAUUGAUCAGUCCAUGCUGGGUCUGACAUGCCAAACACAUGGGACUCUGUGGUUCUGUCUGUGCCUAGACCUCCACAAUGGGAGCCCACACAUAGUGCCACACAUCUGGAUCACUGGCAGUGGAACACUGACGGGCACUGCAGGUGUAGAUGCCACGUGGGGAGCUAAGCUAGCUUAUGAUUGUGAAUGUUACUGAUACAUAUCUGAAAUGUUAAUGAAGUCUGGAGAGGAGAAACUGAACUUUCUAUAAGGUUUCAUAUCACACAGUGAGCGUCAAUUUCCCAUCACCUUUAACUAUACGACUCAUGUUUCAAUAUGUCUGAUAAUGAAUAUUGGCUGGUGUGUGUGUAUAAUGUUUGUGGAGGUUGUGUUUGUAAUUUGCAUUGUGUUGCUUUUUUUAUGUCCCUUUGGCACUUUGGCAAUGUGGUUUUAUGAGUUUGCCCCCAGCUGCCAUGUCAAACUGGGACUGUACUGCAUUGCUAUAUUUAGUGCUCUUUAAACUAACUGGGCCCUUUUGCGUUAUAACAUUUGUACUGUUGUUGUACAUUCAUGCGUUCAGUCUGUCUUUUGGUUGAUGCCAUCACCCUCAGUCCGGUACAAUAUACUCACAAAAUAGAAGUACAUUUGGAUAAUGAUCCAUCAGUAAUCAGUGUGCAUGUACAUAUGCAGAUUGUAUGCACAGAGGGAAGAUGGAGGGGUACAUUGCAUUGGCUUAAAAUAUUCCCUUUAAUUCUUUAGUGGAACUGGCUCGCGAGCUCAAUACUCAUGCAGUUAAAUGCAUUUGUACACAAAGCAGAGGGUAUGUGCAUUUGUUAGGCUGCAGUUUCAGUGUUUUUAUUUUAAACUUCUUCAUUUUGUUAACUAUACGGUAUAAUUUCUCUUUGCACAACGUAACAAGCUCCCUGUGCAUCUGUGUUGCAAAAUGUCUGUGUUUGUGUGUAGAUAAAAGCUUUAGCGCACACAUACUGUAAGUGUAUGCAUGUCUGUGUGAAAUAAUGGAUCGACUGUAAUUCUGUGUGAAUAUGGUGAAUGAAACCGAUCAGAGAUGCUCCAUUUGUUCAAAAUGUGACCAAAGUAGCCAUUGUUUAAUCUCAUAUUCCUUUAUGCAUAUUAUUUUCAAGAAAUGCUUGAAUAUUUUUUUUCCUGAAUGCCAAGAAAGCGAUGUUUAUUUUUGUACUUUUUUUUCAUGCAAAUUAAUAUUUCCCUUUUUUGCUACAGAAUUUAAAGUCAUUGGGCUUAUACAGAAAACUGUCACCCAUUAUGGUACUAUUGAUGGUACUAUAACUGUAUUUAUUGUUGAAAGCAUGCUCUAAAUAUAAGGCUACAGGAAAAAAAACAUAAAUACAUACAAAAUGUGAUUUAUUUGUACAAAAGGGAGCAUAUCCGAUAUUUUUAGGUUUUUAUUCGAGCAUGCAGAUUACUGCUACAAAUUUAGUUUUUUUUAAUAAUCAUUAAGAAGAUUAAUUAUUUAGGAAAAG
ensembl:lncRNA